rnacentral:lncRNA from 1 species
AAAGAAAGGCGAUGCUAAGAAACGUGCUGCAGGGGAGGCUGGCACAUUCUGCUCCUUAGCUAACCGCACAGGCCCAUGGGUCCACACACAUCAGACCAUGGCUCUCUGUGGUCUAUCUUUGCCAUUACUUUAACCAGGCUGUUUCUCAUGCGCUCAUGGAGGGUGACUGAAGAUGCCACCCCGAGGUGCACCCUCAGCCUCGCUGGACACUUACGGCUCGCAUUCUCCAGCCGGACCAGGCAGUUGAGGAAGUCAUCGAAGUCCAGCUGGAGCUCCUCAUCCGCAUACCUGAGCACAAUCAGCUGCAGGAGGUGGCUGCUCAGCUGAAAGCCUGUGGGGACAAAGGAGGAGACCCAGGACUCGCUGUAUCCGAGCCCCGAGAUGAUGACGUGACCUUAGAAGAUGGCAGAGCCACACAAUAGAAGGCGUUUGGGUUCCUGAAUCACUGUAUGAACAGAGCCACCCACAGAAUAUGAACAUCCUCCCUGGACUGUCAUAAUGAGUGAGGAAAAAACUUUACUGUGUUUGAGCCUUUAUAUAUUUGGGGUCUAUUCACUACUGCAGCUAGUGUUACCUUGAGUCAUUGGUGCCUUGAAUUACAGAACUGCCACAACGAAAUUCUAAAAUAUGUUAGCAGUUGAGCAAGAGGGAUCAUGGAACUGUUCGAGCUGGAAAAUGGUUAUCUAUGUUAUGCAGUGGCAAAACAUUGGGUAAAUCUGUUGCAUGUUGUUAUGGACUGAAUGUUUGUGGUCUCCCCUAAAUUCAUAUGUUGAAUCCUAACCCUCGAAGUAGUAGUGUCAGGAGGUGGGGCCUUUGGGAGGUGACUAGGUUGUGAGGGUGGAGCCCUCAUGGAUGGGGUUAGUGCCAUUAUAAAAGAGGCCCCAGAGAGCUGCCUUGCCCUCUUUCUACCAUGUGAGGACAGAGUGAGAAGGAUCCAUCUAUAAAUCAGAAACAGGGCCCUCCACAGAUAUAGGUACUGCCUGUGUCAUCUUCUUGGACUUCCUGGUAUCUAGAACUGUGAGAAAUAAAUUCCUGUUCUUUGUAAGCCACUCAGUCUAUGGUAUUUUUUUAUAGCCACCCAAAUAGACUAAGACAACUAUAAAAAUACAGAAGGCAGAACAAAUCACUACUGAGGCUGUGUUCUAUGGGAAAAGAAUGAAAAAGGCUGGAAUAGUCAUGGUUUUGGGUUGUAGUAUUUUUUUUUUUUUUUUUUGAGAUGGAGUAUCACUCUGUUGUCCAGGCUAGAGUGCAGUGAUGCAAUCUCGGCUCACUGCAAGCUCCACCUCCUGGGUUCACGCCAUUCUCCUGCCUCAGCCUCCCAAGUAGCUGGGACUAUAGGCACUCACCACCACCCCUGGCUAAUUUUUUGUAUUUUUAGCAGGGGUGGGGUUUCACUGUGUUAGCCAGGAUGGUUUCAAUCUCCUGACCUCGUGAUCCACCCGCCUUGGCCUCCCAAAGUGCUGGGAUUACAGGCGUGAGCCACCGUGCCCUGCUGUUGUAUUUUAAAAGCUGUUACAAGAAAGAGAUGAGCUCAGGCAAGACUUGAUUGGUUGGAGCACAUGAAAGGGAAUAGAGCCAGAAACCAGAAAUUUGUGGUCUCACAGGGUUAGAAGGGCCAACUUCUAGAACCCAAACAGGAAGAAAUAAGACUGAAAAAGAUUCUAGAGAUGAAGGCCCAAUACAAAUGUUCAAUUAAACAAAGAGAUUCAGGCCAAGGGAAAGUCCAGAGUAGAAAUGUUUACUUCCUACGUAGGUCGAUAUCUUUAGAUGCUCUCAGGGCAGCUGCCUUCAAAGGUACCUCUCAUCAAGAUGGGUGUGGAGGGAAUGGAUCCUGUGAGCAGUAGGGCUGCCUGUCUUCAAAUUCACUGUGUAAACCUGGAUGACAAAGAGUGCCAAGGAGGUGUGUCAGGCUAGAGACCAGAGGCUCUUCCUCUAUUGGAUUGCAGGAACCCCCUGAAGACUCUUCAACAAACCGAGAGCUGGGGUGAGCCCCCACCAAGACAGGAGGGAGAUUAAAUUUCCCUCUAAUCUGGGUGUAUAUGAGGAGUCUGAGACAGAUGAAUUUGAUUUGCCAAAAAUGGAGAGAGAAGGCUGGGCGUGGUGGCUCAUACCUGUAAUUCCAGCACUUUGGGAGGCCAAGGUGGGUGGUUUCUCUGAGGUCAGGGGUUCGAGACUAGCCUGGCCAACACGGUGAAACCCCAUCUCUACUAAAGAUACAAAAUGAGUCGGGCGUGGUGGCGCAUGCCUGUACUCUCAGCUGCUUGGGAGGCUGAGGCAGGAGUAUCACUUGAACCUGGGAGGCAGAGGUUGCAGUGAGACGAGAUCGCACCACUGCACUCCAGCCUGGGCAAUAAGAACAAAACUCCGUCUCAAAAAAAAAAAAAAAAAAAGAAAGAAAGAAAGAAAAAGGAAAGCGAGAGAGAAGCACAGUGCUCCUUACGCCCCAGGGCCAUGGGACUUGCUCGUAUCUGCAGUUAACACAGGAACAAGCACGGUACCAGAAUUCCCCAUCAUCCAGAGCAGUGUGACACAGACGCUUCUGCUCAGCUGGACCAACAGAACGCCACUCCGGAGAACUAGGAGUAAACAAAAUUGGUGUUCAGGCAGAGGUCAUGAUGAAGAGCAACAAUGGCCUUGAUGUGGAACCCACAGUGUGCGGUUAUGGAGGAAAUAAGACCUGCUUAGUAACUACUCACUGGGUCCCAAAAAUGCACCCAGGGAUGUAGCGGCAGGUGAGCCACUGGCCCCCAAAUAAGAGGGCUGGUCAGAAAGUACAUCUCCAAGUGUUGCUGAUGGAUAAAAUACCCCUGAGGAUGAUCUGAACCACCGACAUGGAAGAUUAUCUUGGGAUAGUCACAAGGCAUUGCAUGCCCGUGGGGUAGCAGAAGAGCCCGGCUGGAAGCCACAAGUCUGCUGACUUUCGUGCUUGGCCUCCAACUUGCCAUGUGACCUGGAGCAGUACUUGGCCCUUCCUUAAUGGACAAGCUGACACUUGGAAAGGUGAUAAUGCCUUACACCUGCCCAUGCUUGAUGUUGUCUGUACCCGGCACCUUUUGUAUGUGACCUCGCUGGCAAGCCAGGUGGGGUUCUGUGAGCUAGGUGUGCCCGUCCUGCAGAUAAGAGGGCUCAGGUAGGCCCAUGGAAACACUCUCAGGGAAGAGUAGGGGUAGGAAUGGCUGCCUGUCACUCUCCAAACUCAGGAUUUGUGACUCCAAGUUCAUUGCAUUUUCUGUGACUCCCACAGCCGCCUCCAAAUAGUUCAAAGUAGGUCACCACUGUUGCGGUGCUACAGCCAACGUGGCAGCUCCCUCUCAUCCUGUGAUCUCAACUCAACCUCAGGGGAGUGCUCAGGUGAUCCAAGGGGAGGAUCAGCCGGGACCUGUCUCCAGGUGCUCGGGCCAGGGUCAGAAGAGUGGAACUGGCAGCCAUUAUUUUCUUUUGGAGCCAUUAUCCUAAGUGGCUCACACCCAGAUAAUUGGCCUGACAGGCUGGCCAUGCGGUGCCUUCAACCCUACUCACAUGUCACCAGCAGCACAGCGAAGUCAGGGAGUCGGGAUGGCGCCUGCCCCUCCCAUCACCCAUGGAGGCUGCAUGAGUGGAAGACAAAUUUUAUUCCAGCCUUGGCUCUCAGUCACUUUCUUGAUUUCUACCUCUGUGAGUCCCAGAAAAUGGGAGACAAUGGCCCAUUUUCCCUUUAUAGGCUACGAUCUCAAAGUUGAGGGGCACUGCACAUCUUACAACGUGACGCAGUCUCACUAAUUUUGGUUUCAGUAGUUCUCUGUGCUUUCCAUUUCUGCCAGGAGAGGGAGGCCAAUCUCUUUCCUCCUCAACCCAUCUCAGCUCAUCUCUGCCAAUGCUUCUUGGUUCUCAGAAGGCGGCAGCCAAGGCCAGAGCAGAGGAUGGUGGGACGAGAGCCUCCAUGGGGACAAUGACAGCCUGGAAAGCACAGGCCUGUGUGCCCUGCCCUCACGCUGGGGUCUGGCUAAUACAGCAGCGGCUGCACCAUGUCUGGCGACCUGGUAGCUGUGUCUGGACUGAAGACAAACACUGGCUCAGUUUUAACCAAGUUCUAGACUAGCUUCAGAUUUCCCCAGAAGCUCAGGGGCCAUGGAUGUGGCAGGAAAGGGCUUCAGGAGCCCAACAAGCAGCGGACGAGCAACAGCUUCAGGCAGGCCCUGCCACGCACCCACACAAACAUCCCUGGUUCUUAGUCACCUGGUCCACUUCCCAAGGGACCAGAGCUGGAGGAGCUGUGGGGACACACACAGAAAAGGCAGACCUUUCUUGAUAACUGGGGGCCAAAACUCUGGUUAACAGCUCUGUAAUAGAUAAAAUUCCAAUUCCAUGUCCUCUAUUUUUUUUCCUUUAAAAAAAAAAAAAAAAAAGAGAUGGGGUCAACAUGCUCUGUUGCCCAGGCUGGAAUGCAGUGGUGCAAUCAUAGCUCCCUGCAGCCUCAAUCUCUCAUACUCAAGUGAUCCUCCCACCUCGGCUUGCUGACGUGUUGGAAUUAUAGGCAUGAGCCACCAUGCUCAGCCUCACUUCUAUUUCUCUGCUGGGCUAUUGGGCCUCUGCCAUGGUCAGUGACCAUCAGAGAGAAUCCUAUAGUUACAUGCUAGGUAAUAUUUCAGGGAUUCCGACACUCCAAAUACACACACACACACAAACACACACGCACUUAUGCAUAUGCACACUGCUUACUGGAGUUACUCACAACUACAGAUAAAGCUUUUCACCAUAUCACUGGGUUAUAAACAUCACCAUGGGAGGUAACACAUUUAUGUAUUGACAUAAAUACAAUUCGUGAAAGUUAGAGUGCUGUUGUAAAAGUCUUUCUUGAGAAUCAACCUUGAUGCAAGGUGGGCCUGAGGGCUGAAAGGGGAGGAAGAAGGGGCACCUCAGAAUCGGGACAGGAUCCUGAGUCAGAGCCCGGGAGGAUAGUAGACAGGCCACUCCUUCACAUGUCUGCACAAGCCAGCUCUGGCCCCACACGCCCCGGGAACCAGCCAGAGAGGCAGGAUAGGGUGACUGACCUGUCGCUCCACGACCCGUUCCACUCAACCUGGCCCCAAGGGUUCCGGAUUCGGAUGAGCUCGAUUCUCUGGCCUCGGAAGCUUACCUAGAAGGGAAAAGCAUGAGGGAAGUGUGAAAUGAUAAAUAUGGUGGAGGUUUGGCCACAUUCAUCUAUGAGCUCCAGGUGGACCAGCUCCAUCCAGAACUGGUUCUGUUGAAAGUCUCUUGCCUAAAAUGCUGCUGAAGGUAUGUAGAAGUUCGCCAGUUCUUAACCAGCCCUUGGAACCUUCUAAUUCCUAUUGAAUAAUUGCUACUAUUGCCAAUGAUAUUAUAUUAAGCACCAAAAUGCUUAUGCCACAUCUGGGAAGUAAAGUAGAAUUGCAAUUAACAAGAAAUUAGUCCAUAUGAAUCUAAAAAUGGGUUUCUCUCUAGACUUGGAUCUCCCUAGAGGCAGGAGCCAAGUCUUAGGCAUCUUCAGCAUCUAGCAGAGUGAAUGGUAAAGAGUAGUCCUCAAAGGUGCUCAUGGAACUAUUACUGAACUUUCUUCAUCCUAGCAUCCCAUGCACAGAUGAAUGAUAAGAAAAUAAGCACAUGUUGGGGAUUUAAACACAACAAUAAACAAAAACAGCUUUUACGUCUUCUAGACCCAAUAUUCUCCUUAUUUCAGGUGUCUGUGAGGAUUCCUGCUGUUCACCUCAAUCACCCUUGAGCCUGUGUGCCCUCAGGCUCUGCCUGGGAGCAGGGACAAGGGCCAAUGCAUUUGAGAAGGGUUUUAGAGGAGAGAGGGUGAAAGUAAAAGACUUCUAGUUAUCAACUAACCAGAAACUGUAGCAGUCAGAAUGUUUUAUCCUCAUGCAUUUGGCAUAAAUUAUAUUUUGGAUGUGUAA